GACAUCUACUUCCCAUAUAUUCAGGUGGGCAACCUCAAUUUACAAGCUUAUUGUUAAUUUUAAAAUGUCAAAAUAAGACUAACAUGUGAUCGCUCACUGUAGGGCUCAAACCUACGACCACAAGUUUAAGAGCCUUGUGCUCUACCGAAUGAGCUAGAUGUGCAUUUGUUAAGCUUAAUAAUUACUUUUACUUUGUUGAAGUUGCCUGAAGGAGGCUUGGUUAUUUUUAUUGGUAUUCCAUGUCUGCUGUAGACUUGCUUUUAGUAGGUUGUUAGGAGAAAAAAUGUUGCAAAUGGAAAAGGAAUAUUUUAUGUUUUAUUUUGCUUUGAUUAUAAUUGGAUAUACACACACACACACACACA
rnacentral:misc_RNA from 1 species